rnacentral:pre_miRNA from 9 species
UGCACAGGUUUUUCAUCGCAGUUGGCAAUUUCUUUGGUUAUCUAGCUGUAUGAGUACCGCGUUUAGUCGUCAUAAAGCUGGACGACCGAAGUAAUGGCCGCUGAUCGUAUGCCAUAUCCGACAU